GCGUGCGGGAAGAAGGCCUUCGGGUUGUAAACCGCUUUUGUUGGGGACGAAACAGCUCGGGCUAAUACCCUGGGCGAAUGACGGUACCCAAAGAAUAAGCACCGGCUAACUACGUGCCAGCAGCCGCGGUAAUACGUAGGGUGCAAGCGUUAAUCGGAAUUACUGGGCGUAAAGCGUGCGCAGGCUGUUGCGUAAGACAGAUGUGAAAUCCCUGGGCUUAACCUAGGAAUUGCAUUUGUGACUGCGCGGCUAGAGUGCGGCAGAGGGGGAUGGAAUUCCGCGUGUAGCAGUGAAAUGCGU
rnacentral:rRNA from 1 species